CUUCCUUCUCUUCACUGUUGUGCCUCUCCUUGGCGACCUCCCCGACGAGCGAAGCUCUGCAACACCGGCGAGCGAAGCUCUGCAACACCGGCGACCCGGCUCUCCAACCCCGACGCCCGGCGACCCGACGAGCACAGAAUCUCUCUCCGUCUUCCCAUCGGACUCGCGACUCGCUUCUCUCGAUUAGUGGUGUUUUCUCGACAGAUCUGUGUUCACAAAUGUCAACUUCAAGUGUUAAUGGCAGUACCUCAGAUCAAUUGACGUAUUGCAACAGAAAUUGUCCUCAAUGUCGGAAAAAAGCAAUCAUUCGAAUUUCGGAGACGGAACGAAACAAGAAUAAGCUAUUUUAUUGUUGUCCUGAUUGCAGUGGGUUUAUUGCAUGGUGCUUGCCUACAAAUUCACAACGUACGGAGGAAGGGCAAGUGCGAAUGGAGAAUACACCGACUGUCACCGAACAACUUCAAAGUAUGGGCGAACAUCUUCGAUUUCAAAGCGAACAACAUCAAUUUCAGAAUGCGCAGAUGCAAAAAUUGCAAAGAGACAUAAAUAGAAAUUCGUGUUGUAUUAAUGGGAUCUUCAUCUUGCUUGUAAUUGGUGUGAUAUUAAUUAUGAAGAUGUAAUAAUUUUUAUACAAGUUAGAACAUGUAAUUGGUGUUGUAUUAAUUAUGAAGAUGAUAUGUAUGAAGAUUUAUGAUAUAUUACAAUUAUGGAUUGACAAGUAUGAAUA